rnacentral:rRNA from 1 species
UACGUAGGGUGCGAGCGUUAAUCGGAAUUACUGGGCGUAAAGCGUGCGCAGGCGGUUUUGUAAGCCAGGUGUGAAAUCCCCGGGCUUAACCUGGGAAUGGCAUUUGGGACUGCAAGGCUUGAGUUUGGCAGAGGAGACUGGAAUUCCUGGUGUAGCAGUGAAAUGCGUAGAUAUCAGGAGGAAUACCGAUGGCGAAGGCAGGUCUCUGGGCUAGAACUGACGCUCAUGCACGAAAGCGUGGGGAGCAAACAGG